GAUGUCCCCAAUUUAUCUUCAAAUGCGAAAUUGUCUUCCUCCUGAAGUGCCGAGCUGCAUGUUUUUGCAGCAGGAAUAAGAAGCAAAAUCAUGACUCAAAAAACUGCAGUGCACAGCUGCAGCACCUAAUAGGGAAGAAGCGCUCUUUCGGCCUUGUCUGGUGCAGAAAAACAUAUUGUCCUUUGCGCUUCACUAUGAUGGGGAGCUUAUUUGUUAUGUGUAAUCAGCAUUUUCUGGAAAAGCCUACCUUCUUACGCAUCAUGUGGAAUACACAUGAAAAGCGCACAGAGAAUUGUUCACAGAGCCUGCAUUAUUCAACUUUUAUACGAACAGUUGCAUUUGAAGCUAUUGACAUGAAUUAAAAAUAGCGGUGUAUA